UACGUAGGCAGCAAGCGUUGUUCGGAAUUAUUGGGCGUAAAGGGCGCGUAGGCGGUCGUGUGCGUCAGAGGUGAAAUCCCCGGGCUUAACCCGGGAGCUGCCUCUGAUACGGCAUGGCUUGAGUCCGGGAGAGGAGAGCAGAAUUCCCAGUGUAGCGGUGAAAUGCGUAGAUAUUGGGAGGAAUACCAGUGGCGAAGGCGGCUCUCUGGACCGGUACUGACGCUGAAGCGCGAAAGCGUGGGUAGCAAACAGG
rnacentral:rRNA from 1 species